rnacentral:rRNA from 1 species
CAGCCGCCGCGGUAAUACGAAGGGGGCUAGCGUUGCUCGGAAUGACUGGGCGUAAAGGGCGCGUAGGCGGAUUGUUUAGUUAGGCGUGAAAUUCCUGGGCUUAACCUGGGGACUGCGCUUAAUACAGGCAGUCUAGAGUGAGGAAGAGGGUUGUGGAAUUCCCAGUGUAGAGGUGAAAUUCGUAGAUAUUGGGAAGAACACCGGUGGCGAAGGCGGCAACCUGGUCCUUGACUGACGCUGAGGCGCGAAAGCGUGGGGAGCAAACAGGAUUAGAGACCCCAGUAGUCCCUGUCUCUUAUAC